UACGUAGGGGGCAAGCGUUGUCCGGAAUUAUUGGGCGUAAAGCGCUCGCAGGUGGUCCGAUGCGUCGUGCGUGAAAGACCCUGGCUCAACUGGGGAGUGUCGUGCGAUACGGUCGGACUGGAGGCCAGUAGGGGAGACUGGAAUUCCAGGUGUAGCGGUGAAAUGCGUAGAUAUCUGGAGGAACACCGGUGGCGAAGGCGGCAUCCUGGACCGGCAUUGACGCUGAGGCGCGAAAGCCAGGGGAGCAAACGGG
rnacentral:rRNA from 1 species